UACGGGGGGGGCAAGCGUUGUUCGGAAUUACUGGGCGUAAAGGCUCGUAGGCGGCCAACUAAGUCGGAUGUGAAAUCCCCAAGCUUAACUUGGGAACUGCAUCCGAUACUGGAUGGCUUGAAUCCGGGAGAGGGAUGCAGAAUUCCAGGUGUAGCGGUGGAAAUGCGUAGAGAUCCGUGAAGAACACCGGUGGCGAAGGCGGGCCGACUCGGUCGAGUACGGCUAGU
rnacentral:rRNA from 1 species